AGAACGAACGCUAGCAGUGUGGAUUAGGCAUGCAAGUCGUGCGCGAAAGUCUUCGGACGGGUAAAGCGGCGAAAGGGUGAGUAACACGUAACCAACGUACCUCUCAGACCGGGAUAACCUUCGGAAACGGAGGAUAAUACCGGAUGGUCCUAAGGGAAGACAUCUUCCUUAUGGUAAACGGCGGCUUCGGCUGCUGCUGGGUGAGCGGGUUGCGGCCUAUCAGCUUGUUGGUGGGGUAAAGGCCCACCAAGGCUAUGACGGGUAGCGGGUCUGAGAGGAUGAUCCGUCACACUGGGACUGAGACACUGCCCAGACUCCUACGGGAGGCUGCAGUCGAGAAUCUUCCACAAUGGGCGAAAGCCUGAUGGAGCGACACUGCGUGCAGGAUGACGGCCUUAUGGUUGUAAACUGCUGUCACGCUAUAGGAAACCGUGUGGGUGAAUAGUCCAUGCGCUGACCAAAGCGAGAGGAAGUGCCGGCUAACUCCGUGCCAGCAGCCGCGGUAAUACGGAGGGCGCAAGCGUUGUUCGGAAUCACUGGGCAUAAAGAGCACGUAGGCGGUCCAUUAAGUCAGGUGUGAAAUCCCUCGGCUCAACCGAGGAACUGCAUCUGAUACUGACGGACUUGAGGAUGGCAGGGGUAAGUGGAACUCCAGGUGGAACGGUGAAAUGUGUAGAUAUCUGGAGGAACACCGGUGGCGAAAGCGGCUUACUGGGCCAUCACUGACGCUGAGGUGCGAAAGCUAGGGUAGCGAACGGGAUUAGAUACCCCGGUAGUCCUAGCCGUAAACGAUGGGCACUAGGCAAUGGAUUCACCUAUGGGAUUCAUUGCCGUAGCUAAUGUGUUAAGUGCCCCGCCUGGGGAGUACGCUCGCAAGGGUA
rnacentral:rRNA from 1 species